AUCUACGGCCAUGCCACCCUCAUCCCGGAAUCUAAGUAUGGUCAGGCCUGGCCUGUACUUGGAUGGGAGACCCCCCUAAGAAUACCAGGUGCUGUAGACU
ensembl:rRNA 5S_rRNA 5S ribosomal RNA